CAGGGAGGGGGGCGGAGGCAGCGCGGUUGGCAGGAAAGCCUCCGGAGAAGAGUGGUCUCUCCUGCGUCCUGAGUAGAGGCGCGCAGUUGCGAGGAAGCCCUGGGCCUGGGGCCCCACGGGCCGAGCGGUUCUGUCUACACUGCUGAAGUCUGAAUGUCUUGGCAUGUAUAAGAAGGAAAGGACUUAUCAUGGGGAGCUGGACAGAAGGGAGUUUGGAUCCUGGCUUACACCCGGCUGUGAUAUGGACAACCUGCUUCCCCUCCGCUAGCUUCACUUCCCGCUGCCUUGUACGACCCACAAGAACUGGAAACCGCAGUGCUCUGAUAACAGGGACCAAUUACUAAGCCGGCUUUAUUUAUCUUGGUUCCUCAAGGGCCCCCCUCCCACACUGGCAGGGUCAAAGCUCAGGUGUUAAAGAUCACAGUACAGGGAAGCUUGCCAUUCCUGAUGUUGGGGUCUCCUCCACGUGGAAGUCCCCCACGGCCCCCGUGCUGCCUGGGGUGAAGGAUGGAAAUGCAGCAGGAGCCCUGGACUGGAUGCUUGGAGCCUGGGGAUCCUGGGAUGGCUCCGCCACUGGCACUCUGGGCCUCUCUGGGGGGUCCCUCUGAGGCUGCAUUUUCGUCCUCACUAAAAUAAAGAAAUAUUGUGAUCUUGUACUAAUACACCUCAACUCAUGCCUCCUCCCUGGAUAUAAAUGCUUCUGUGGCUCCCCACUGCCCUCAGAAGAGCCUGACUUCUCAGCCCGAGGCUCCCCACCCUUUGGCCCCCGGUAUCCACAUUUUUCACUACGACCCUCUCCUGGUCUUCAAGCCAUUCACCAAAAAUUAUUUUUUUUUCUUUUUAAAAGAUUUUAUUUAUUUGACAGAGAGAGAGCACAAGCAGGAGGGAUUGCAGUCAGAUAGAGAGGGAGAGACAGACUCUCCGCUGACACAGGGCUCAAACCCAGGACCCAGGGAUCAUUGAUCAGAACUGAAGGCAGAGGCUUAACCGACUGAGCCACCCGGGCACACCUGGUCACCAGGAAUUCUUUCAGGUCACAAGUCCACUGGGCUCUUGUCUGCUUCAGGGCUGCCUCAAAAACUCCUACCCAGGUCUGGAACACACCCCCGCCCCCUCACUGUGUUCUUCAGGUCCCUACGGAACGUUUUUGCACACUGCAGCUGCUACAGGAGUCCGGAGCUCAGAAGGGACUAGGGCGGAAGACAGAAAUCCUAGGUUUAAAAGUAUUCCGAUUGGGGCGCCUGGGUGGGUCAAAGCCUCUGACUUCGGCUCAGGUUAUGAUCUCAGGGUCCUGGAAUUGAGGCCCACAUCGGGCUCUCCACUCGGCAGGGAGCCUCCCCCUCUCUGUCUGCCUACUUGUGAUCUCUCUCUGUCAAAUAAAUAAAUAAAAUCUUUAAAAAAAAAGUAUUCCGAUUAUAACUGAAGAUGAGGGCUCACGGAGAUUACCCCAAAAUCCUCCAUUUAGAGAAACGGCCUGUACUUUUUCUGAAUGCACACCUUUGGAAAAACUAAGCACAUGCCUCCAACACACCACACAGAUAUGCACUCGAUGAAACACACAAACAUGGAAAGUAACAAAGCUGAUGUUAAAUACAUACACACAGGUAUUCUAACUCUCCAUUGAAAUUUGAAAACCAUGGAUCUAAACUGGGUGGCGAAGGGGAAGCUGGUAGGUCAGCCACAGCGAGAGGGAAAAGCGGGAAUAGUGACAGAGAAGCAACAGGUUGUCGGGGCGCCUGAGGGGCUCAGUCGUUAACGUCUGCCUUCAGCUCAGGGCAUGAUCCCAGGGUCCUGGGAUCGAGCCCCGCAUUGGGCUCCCUGCUCGGCGGGAAGCCUGCUUCCCCCUCUCUCCCUCACCUGCUUGUGUUCCCUCUCUUGCUGUGUCUCUCUUUGCCAAAUAAAUAAAUAAAAUCUUUAAAAAAAAAAAAAAGGUCAUGUUCCGAGGACCGUGUGGCCAACUGUGUCCCAUGCUACAGAGGCCGAAGAUGACAAGAUUGAAAGCUAUCCACUGGAUCGCACAACCAGAGGUCCUAACGAGUCACAGGAUCCUUCCAAGGGCAUUUAUGGGCAAGAGAUGGGAUGGGAGACCAGCCGGGGUCAGCAGGUGAUGCAUAAGCCUGAAGUCCAGAACUUCCCUGAGCUCCCCAACUACCUGCUUGGAUGUGAACCAGGCAUUUCAGAAGAAGCCCAUCCAACACAUGCCAACCUGCCUCCUGCGAUCUGCCUGUUUUUCUCAUCCGAGUAACAGCACCUCCAGCAGGUGUAUAACCCAGAAGGCUCCCACUCAUUCAGCCCUUAUAUCCAGUCCAUCAGCGGGUCCCAUCGGCACCACCUUCGAAAUGCAUCUGACCCGGGCCCUUCUGACCAUCUCUUCCACCCUAAGACAAGCCACCACCAUCAUCUCAUACCUGGGCCUCCUCUCCCGCCUUCCUCCGAUGGGUUCUCCAGGUCUUCUAAAUGUAGACAUCAGAUCCUAGCAUUCUCUGACUUCAAACCUUUCAACCAUUUACUGCUGCAUUACAAAUGAAUUCCAAGUGCCUUACCACUCCCGGCAAGGCCCGCAUGGGCAUCUGGGAUCUAGGGCCCUCGCCACUACCCAUCAGCCACACUGGUUUUGCCCCUUCUCAGUGCACCUGAUUUUCUUCUGCCUCAAGGAUUUUGAACGGCUUCUUUGCAGUCAGUUCUGAAGGUUACUCUUCCUGUCUAGAAUAUGCUUCCCCUAGGGGCACCUGGGUGGCUCAGUUGUUGAACAGUAGCCUUGGGCUCAGGUCAUGACCCCAGGGACCUGGGACUGAGCCCCGCAGCACUGUGCUCUCUGCUUAGCGGGAAGCCAGCUUCUCCUUCUCCCACUCCCCCUGCUUGUGUUCCCUCUGUCAAAUAAAUAAAUAAAAUCUUUUAAAAAAAUA